UUCAGUUUCCCCAUCUGUGAAGUGGGUGUAUGGGUGAGGGUCUCCACUCCCUCCUGGAGGGGCUGAGAGCAGGGGCCCAGGACCGUGGAGAGCCCAUUCCCCAGGGCUUUGAGCUCUGCACACUUUCUGGGCAGAUUUUGCAGGUUUGGCCUCGGAAGUGGUAGGAACCCAGGUCUCAAACCCCGGGCGCAGUCGGGUGGCAGGAGGGAGGCUUGGGAUCUCCCACUCAGGAGUCAACACUCCUGGAGGAAGAAGCACAGCCCACUGUGAAGCGGCCGCCCUGCCAGAGCCCCUCGGCUUCCUCCGGCUGGGUGGCUCUUUGCCCUCUUGGAGAUGAGGUUUUGAGUUGCUGGAUUGGGUUGAGAUGAAGGCCAGGUGUUUCCAGCAGGCACAGUGCGGAGACCUUGUGACCCGCAUGGUUGCCUGGCUCUGUGGGCUGCCCCUUGUCACGCCAGCUUUUGCUCUGCUGGAGUCCAGGAAGCUCUGGUUAGAGAGGCUGCAACCAGGGGUGUCCUCAGCUGCUCAGGCUCCUAGAGAAUGAGGCUGGAGCAGCAGAAUUGCUUAAGCUCAGGAGUUGGAGGCUAGCCUAGGCAACACAGUGAGACCCCUGUCUCUACAAAAAAAAAAAAA